UACGAAGGGGGCUAGCGUUGCUCGGAAUCACUGGGCGUAAAGCGCACGUAGGCGGAUCUUUAAGUCAGGGGUGAAAUCCUGGAGCUCAACUCCAGAACUGCCUUGAUACUGGGGAUCUCGAGUCCGGGAGAGGUGAGUGGAACUCCGAGUGUAGAGGUGAAAUUCGUAGAUAUUCGGAAGAACACCAGUGGCGAAGGCGGCUCACUGGCCCGGUACUGACGCUGAGGUGCGAAAGCGUGGGGAGCAAACA
rnacentral:rRNA from 1 species